AGAGAGGGCCAAGGGGUCGCGGGGGCGCCUCGUGCGUCCCUGAGGAAAGUCCGGACUCCACAGGGCAGGCCACUGGGGCGAUCCCAGCGGGGGUGACCUCGGGAAAGUGCCACAGAGAACAGACCGCCCACGUUCGGGGCGCAAGCGUCGAACAGGCAAGGGUGAAACGGUGGGGUAAGAGCCCACCAGCGGUCCGGGCGACCGGGCCGGCUCGGCAAACCCUGGUCGGAGCAAGGCCAAGUAGGAAGGUGCUCGAGGACGGCCCGUCCGAGCCUUCGGGUAGGCCGCGAAGACGAAUGACCCCUCGCGACAGGAUCCGGCUUAUCGGCCCUCUCUCGGG
rnacentral:RNase_P_RNA from 1 species